GGAGGGGUCGCAUAGCUGGUCUAGUGCGCACGCUUGGAAAGCGUGUAUGUCGCAAGGCAUCGUGGGUUCGAAUCCCACCCCCUCCG
rnacentral:tRNA from 1 species